CCAUUUUUUCUUCACUCAACGAGAUCUCUGAAAUCUGAAUCAAACCCAAGAUUUGAUAAACCAAAACCCGUUUCUCUAAAACCUUAUCUCAUGAAUCAAAAUUCCUCCAGAAAUCAAACCAAGUAUUGUACUAUAUUUUAGUAACUGAAACCCUAAAAAUCGUUUUCUUUUGUAAAGAAGUUGAAUUUGUGUAGAUGAUUUAUAGAAAUCAUGUAGUAAUUGAAUCGAAGGGGAAGGUGGUGGUUCUGUGAUUGAUUUAUCUCGGAGAAGAAGGAGUUGAUGCUGCUCUAAAUUGAGUUAGGCUUUUCAGUUUAGAUUUCGAGGUUGUUUGAAUUGAGAUGUAAAUCGAGUUGUUAAUGGAUAUAGGAUUAAAGGGUUGGUAUUAGAUUGGUGAUGACGAAUCGUGUUGUUGAAGAUCGAAUUUCAAUUGAGAUUUCUACAACUUAGGGUUUCUAUUCUUCCCCGAAUAUAUUCUGAAUCUAGGGUUUGAUAGAAAUUGAGAUGAAAAUAGAGAUAAAUGGGUAAAUAGGUUUAUUGUGGCUGUGAUGUCAUGAAUUAUUAUUGGUUGACUUAAAUUGAAUUGAUGUUGAAGUAAUUAGGUUCUUUAGAAGAAGUUCUGGUGGCCUUGAAGGUUAUGGAACGGUAAAAGGUGGAAAAGUAGUAAAUAGAAGAUGGGUACUGAGUUUUAAUGAGCAUGGUGGUUGUAUGAAUUGUGCAGGUGUAAGUGAAGAAUGAUUUGUUCUAAAAGAUCAGGGAUUGAGUCUGAGAUAGAGAUGCCAUGGCUAGGCAGAAGAGGUGGUUAUGAUGGUGAUACUUCAAUGUAAUGAAAUGGUUUGUCGUUGCUGCAUUAUGAUAAGUUACCGGAACAAUCUUUUCUGCUACAGAUUCUGUUUGCACCCUGCAGGUGCUUAAUCAGGAUGACAGACCACUGCUAUACAGUUUGGUCUUCGGUGAAGGUGUUGUUAAUGACGCGAAUACUGUGCAAGAAAGAAGAAGUUUUUUUUAAGUCUUUCAAAGGAGAAGAAAAAAAGAAGAAAAACCUCCUUGCACAGUAUUCAUUUGAAUAUUAAUCACUGAGUAACUUUGUUGCCCAGUAACAAUGUGUAAAAUAUUACCAUGAAGUGCCUUCUUUCUGAAGUUAUUUGGGUGGGUUCCAGAAGUAGAAAGAGGAGAAAAAAAUGCAGGAUCUGAGUGGUGUUUAUGUAUAUAAUGUCGCCAAAAGAGAGGAUCUUGAUAGGCAAACAGCAAGGCUCGUACAAGAAUUUUCUUGCAUAGAGGGCUGGACUUUUGAGUGUAUACAUCAUUAAAAAGCUAUAUAAUGUUCACUGACCAUCGUGUCUUUGGGUUCGCUGGAAAACUAUCUCAAGAUUCUACAUCACUCUAUUUUCCUAAGUUUGUGCCAAUUUCAGGUGUGGAACCACGCUAGUUGCAUACUCAAGAAAGCAAACCAGAUCAGAUCGGUUAUACUCGCUUCGAUGGGAAGAUCAGCAGAAGAUAAGGAAAUACGUAGAAGGUAUUGGAUCUUCUUCGAGUGCGCCAACAUGGAAGUAAAGCUGUACGACGAGCUUCUGAUUUGGAAACCACGCUAGAAGCUCAAUCAAAAGAAAUAUGGGCCAUUAAGGAUGAUCUCAAAAAGCAUGUGGCAACAUCGGAGCUGCGAGAAAUGCUAGAAGCAAACGAGCAAGAUUUAGCUGGAUCUGAAUUUGAUUUGCGUGAUCGAUGGUAAAAAUUUGAGCAAGGAAUGUUUAGUUUAUUAUAAUUUUACCACGUUCUUUGUGUUUUCAUGUAGGCAAGCAUCACGUCAUGCCCCUCUUGCAGUUCACAUGUCUUUUACCCAGUGCAGGUUGUAAACUAAUUAAUUAAUCUAUGAGAACUCCUGUCAUAGCACGGCAUAAUCUUUCACUAGUUCUGCGUGUUUAGACUUAUGGCAAAGACAGUAUUUCGAGCAAAAGAAACGGCAACAACAUUCCAAUGGAGAUGAUGAUGCUGAAGGAACUCAUGGGUCUGCUGAAUACCAUCGGAUACCUAAAUCUUUGGAUAUCGUAAGUUUGUUGAACUUGGCGGGAGAGGCCAAGGGGGGUAAUUCUGGCUGCAACAAUGGCAAUUUUAUUGAUUUAAUGUCAUUUUAUAGGAUCAUAUUGCUUUCUGGUUGUUGCUCACUCACCCUAUGUGCAUUUUCCUUCCUGUAAAAAUGCUGAUAAAAGCAACGGAUGGUCCAGCCCUCGGAGUUUUGCCGCUGAAUUAUCAAGUCCCUAAGGACAUGCAUAAGGUAGCGGAAAUCCCAGUCCUGAGAUUUUCACCCGUGAACUACCAUCUUCAGAAGGACACUAUAGAGACUAAAUCACCAGCCAAAAAAAAGAAAUGUGCAUCUCCCGAAAGAAAUCUCCAGCGAUCCUCAUAAGACAACAACUUUCCAUAAGUACUCCUCCAACAAAAAUGGUGAUAAUUCGAAUUGCUGGAAGAAUGCAACUGAAACUCGUAAGAUCUCACGUUCUUCUUAUACUGUUAUUUAUUGAUCUGUUAACCAGUGCUAUUAAUAAUUUUUCAAAAUGAGGUUUGCCCCCUCGAAUUCAGCUCUGCUACUCCGAGAUCAUCUUAAAGUCCUACAAUGUGUUAGUCAUCUCCUUUAAUUGUACAAGUUCAAUAAAGCAUUUAAUAUGUCUAUUUCUGAUCUUAUGUCGAGAGUAUUGUUGUAUUUUCAAAGUUGUUGAGUAAAAAGGUUCGUUGAGACGUGUGAAGGAAGAAUAUUUUAGACUUAAUUUUAAA